rnacentral:lncRNA from 1 species
AAACAUGGCCGAAGAACAAACAGACGGGCAGUGGGACAACUCUGUUGAGAAAACCCUUGGAGAAACUAAUAAGGAGCAUCUUAUCUGCAGUAAAAACUCUGAAGUAGAUGGCGACACUGAAGAUUCAUUUGCUGAACGUCUUGGCUAUGAGAUAGUUAGUGUGAAUGAGGCGCAGGACAAUGUAACUGGGUCACAGAACAGGCCUGAAAAGAAACCUCAUGCAGAACCUGAUGAUGAAGACCACGCUGAGACAACCUGUGAUGAAGAUGAGGACUUUGUGAAUGUGGAAAAACCCUGGAGAACAUUUUUUGUCGUCUCUGCUGGAAAAACCAACGGAGCUCAUCGUGACUUUGUGAAGAAGCUUGAAGCCGUCGGUCAAACUGAGGCGUCGUCUCCUGAAGGAUGUGACUACGUCGUGUGUUUCUGUCCUGUGGCUUCACGAGUUGGAACAGACGUCAGUGAGGCUCUAGACAGAAUCCCUGGUAAGAACUGACUGAUCAGUUUCACACUGGUUGCUCGGGUGUUUGAUACAUUAAAUUAGUCUUUAGACUGUAAUCAGUGUGGUAGCUCAGCGGGUUGGACAUCGUCCAGGGAAACAAACAUCCAGGUUUGCUUCCCUUGUACCCUUGAGCAAGGUACCUC